rnacentral:lncRNA from 1 species
CAUGAUUUCAUGUUUUAUUUUUAUAUAUCUGUCCUUUGUGAAGUGGAAAAGCAUAUAUAUAUGGACAAAUACAUUAAAUAAAAAACAUAUACAUAGUAAAUAAGCAACUUACUUUCUUUAUCAAUAAGGGAAGUUCUCAUUGUUUGAUAGAUUAAGUAAACUUCUCAUGUAAAUUUUAUCUGGUUGAAUAAUGAUAGAAUUCUAUCUCUACUUUUCUCUCAUAUUUUUACAAUUCUUGUUUGUGUGUGUGUGUGUGUGUGUGUGUGUGUACUUAGAGCCUCCAAAUUAUAAUAAUAUGUAUCAGUAAGUGACUUCCUCAGGGUCCACACAGCUUUAAGCUGGAAAGAAACCUCUGAGAGAAUGAUCAUCCUUGUGAAAAGCCCAACACAGAGGUACAAUUAGACUCAGGAGCCAGACCAUUUUUGUACAGAUUUCAACCCUUCCUUUGCUUAUUGUGGAACUUCAGGCAGGUUACCUAUCCUCUCUAUGCUUCAGUUUCCUAAUCUAUAAAAUGGAGAAAAUAAUAGAACUAAUUUUAUAGGGUUGUUGUGAAGAUUAAAUGAACAUAUACACAUAAAGCUCUUAAAAGAGUGCCUUCCUUGCAUGCAGUAAUCUGUCCAUAAUUAUGAGCUGCUCUUGAUGUCUCCUUUUGGUUAUGAUUGAAGUAUCUUAGCUUCAAGAUACUUCACCUUUGUUUAAACUAAUCACCUUGAGAAAUCUUUGUUCAUAGUUUGAGUGUGGCUUAAUCUAUGAUUGGGUCCCUUGCUCUUCUAUCAACUAGUAGAUAUGAAUGUUGUUAUAUACAGGAUGUUUGGGGAAAGAUCUCUUGAUUUUUAGAAUUAACUAAUUUGGGACUGCUUAUUAAAUAUCUCUGAUCAGUAGAGGACAUAAUUAAAGAAAACUAGAAUAAGCUUGAUCCUGGCAAAGGAAAUAUUAUUCAUAUUUUUCCUGUUGUGUAAAGUUUUGUUUAUUAUGUACUUGUAUAUAAUCUACAACCUUGGGACAAAUACUUUCUCUGAAACCCACAAUAACUUGGAAAAUGUAAAAUUAUGCCUUUAUCUAAAAAUGCUAAAAAUACAUUUUUUUCUUUGGCAUUUAAAGUAGAGAAAUUAAUUAAAAACUCAUAUUUUCAUAUGUCAGCAUAUAUCAACUAUUAGGAAAAAAAGCACAAAAAUGAAUACACUGUUUAGGGAAGACAUAUACUUUGGCUUUAUCCUCAUUUGUUGAAAGCAUUUUGGUGAUUUGAUGACGACAGUGAAAAUGUAUCCAGGGUUCAAUUAAAAUUCAAAAUAUUGAUCUAGCUUAUAUAGAAUCAGUUCUAUCUUUUGAAUUUAUAAACAAUUAUACAGAAUAUGGUCACAUAAUGUAUAAAAUGCUGUCUGAUUUGUAUAUAGAACAUAAAAACCAAGGUUCUUAUACUUAAAAGAAAUGUUGAUUUGUGUUGACUUUCAAAGGAAAUGAUUAAAUUAUCCAUGUUGCCUAGUUAUCACAGUUGUCUCAUGUGCUCUCGCCUCAGUAUAUUUUUUUAAACAUAGUGCUUUCAUAGAGAACCAGGGUCUAUCUCAGUACUUAUGUUUAUAUUUUUACAUCAUAGUUAUUAUUUUGAAAAUGUAGGAACCCAACAUGACUACUUUCUCCACAGGUUUUCUUUUGGACUAGUGCCAUCUGUGGCUGUGAAGCCAAGUGUUCUGCUGGGGCAGAAUAAUCAAAUCAAAGUUAAUGGGGUGACCAUCUAAGCAGGGCUCUUUGUCAUUAAGGUCCACUCUUCUGAUACUAGCACAUUAUCCUGCUGAUUGGAUUUGUAGGAAGGCAUCCACCUGUGGCCCAAAUUGGCAGAGAAGAGACUUAUUGCAGAGGCAGCCCUGGCGAAGAAGUAGAAGGUAGCUUUCCUGGGCAGCAGAUUCUUUUUCUGAAAAGCCAAAGUGUGCAGGACAGCAUAAAUAAUAUGAGUAGAUUGGUGAUUCACACAUGAUUUCGUUGAUUUAGGUCCCAAAGUAAAGCAACCAAAGGCAGAGGAUUAGAAACUUUAUCAUUAGAAAGAAAUGACUUGUCUGGGACCUGUGAAAGAAGACAUAUAGAGACACUGAGCCAGCUGAUCUGAGGAGAUUUAAGCACAUAGGAAUGAUUUUUCUCUGUUUGGAUGAGAGCUAUUGUAAAAAUUUCCCUGUCUGCUGGGGGCACCGAGGUUCUCACAGACUAUUAUAAACACAAUUUGGCUCACAUGCUCUCAUAAUCAGGCUGACUUGCACUGAAACAGAGAGUGCUCUAUAGCAGUGCCAGGCCUCUAGCAGUACCAACUGUUAAAUAAUAAACAGGCCUUGUUUGUUGGCAGCCUCUUUCCCUCCUGCCAACGUGGAGUGCCCAUUUUCUGGGUUUACCUGUGAGAGUGAGGGAGAGAGAGAGAGAGAGGGAGUUAGUUGUAUGAGGCAGUGGUGGGUGGCAUGGUGGCAUCAUCAGUCUACUUUGUUCAUUAUUUUCUCAGGGCCUCUCGGGUGAGCAGCAAACAUGCAAGGCUUGAGCAGCAAGAACAAUGGCUGUGCUGUCAUUCUAGAUAAUAUUACAGGCUCUGUGGAGUGCAUUAGCUAAUUGUUUUUAUGUUUAUUUUCUCUUCAUAUUCUUUCUCUUCUUUUGAAUUGGUUUGAAGGGAGUGGGGAUUAGAGUGGUUUUGCCAAUUAGAUGCUUUGGUUCAGGAAGUUAAAAGUAUUUGGGGUGAUUGUUUUAUUUCACUGACAAAGUGUAUAUGGUUUAUUAACAUUGAUAGUCAGACAUCCAGUCAAACCACACUUAUUUACUGAAGGCCCACAGGGUGCAAAGAACCUUGGAGUAGGUGCUUAGACUGGACACCCUGUACCUCACUGUGUUAUUGUACAACAAAUACCAGGGUGAGUGCAGUCUUCCUCCUGAUUCCAGGUACCAAAUGAUCAGAAUGACUACAGUAGAACAGUUUAAUUAAUAGCUAAACUAGAAGUGCCCUCCCUUCACCUCCCUCUCCCCACUACUUGAAGAAGAAAAAAAAAAAUUCCUCAAAGUCCUCUCUGUGGUCAUGGAGAUUUUCCCUCCGUUUUACUGGUCCCAGGAAAAGAAUCCUUGAUAAUCUCAGUUUUAUAUUGCUUUUCUUUUUUUGGCUAAAGAAAUUUCAUGUGUUUCACAGAUACAGUGUCAAAAACACAUUCUCUAUUCCCAUAAACUGUCUCCACUCCCCAGCAAAGCCAUGACACAAGUGUCUAAGUGGAAACUUUUGGUUGAUUAGUGUAAAGGAGACACAUUCAAACAGGAGUAAUCAGGGGCAUGUGCUACUCCUGGGAGGGUGACUGGGAACAGAAGGACUGAUUAUUCUCAUGGACUAAUCAUAAAAGCAAUGCUUAACUUUUAAAUAAUAAUGGCAUUGCUAGAGUAAGUUUCUUUCAAGGUGACCACUGAAAAAUAGCUGUUGGUAGUGGCCUAUGUUAAAAUUCAUUUGUUAAAUAUUUUCAGUCACAAUCCUGCAUAAUGAUGGUUCCAUAUAAUGAAACUAUUCAUUAAUUGAGAUACCAAAAUCAUUUCCUCGAGUGAAAUGAAAUUUCUCAGAUCACUAAAUAUGCUUUCAACUGUGUAGUGAUCAUUUAGUUUCUUGACUAGGAUAUUUUUAGAUCAAGAGUAAAUAUUUGAAUUAAGAACUCUGGUGACAUCCCAGGGUGUGUUUCAGAAAGCUAGGACAAUAUUCACAUAUUCAGCUUAAUUUUUUUCUGAAUUCAUGCCUCACCAGUAUGCAAUGGAUACACUUGUGGUGGUGUCUUUUUCCUUUUUUUAAAAUUAAUUUUAUUGGUACAUUUCAGGUAAACAGUAUAAUGACAUUCUUCAUUGGAAAUUUGCAUCUUUACAUAAUCUCUCUUGCUUCUUAUUUUUUCCCCGUUCUCCUGCCCUCCCUUCAACCCCUCCAUCCCACACUAUUUACAAAGACUUAGUUUCCAUUUUUCAUUUUAUCAUAUUUAUUACAUUCUGUUCAUUCCUAUCCCCUACCCCACCCACUUGCCCUUCCCUUCCUAUUUCACACUAUCUGUUAUACCUUUUAGUCCUUAUUUACACUUUCAGUUUCUCACACUAGAGAAACUGUUUUGUAUUUAUACAUGUGUGUUGUAUGUAUUUCAUAUAAGAGUAUCACCUCAAUGUGCAUCCAUUUAUCUAUAAAUGUCUCUAAUUUCUCAUUUUUUAUGGCUGAUUAGUACUCCAUUUCAUAAUAAAAACCACAUUUUCUUUAUCCAGUCUCCAGUUGAUGGGCAAGUGGGCUGCUUCCAAGUUUUAGCUAUUACAAACUUUGCUGCUGUGAACAUGGGUGCACAUAUAUCACUGUGGUAUGAUUCUUUUAAUUCUUUGGGGGAGAUACCCAGCAGAGGAAUAGCUGGGUCAAAUGAGACUUCCAAUCCUAGUUCUUUGAGGUAUCCCAUACUGAUUUCCACAGUGGUUGCACCAGUCAACACUCCCACCAGCAGUGGAGCAGUGUUCCUCUUUCCGCACAGCCCCACCAGCAUUUGUUACUGGUUUUCAUGAUAGCAGCCAUUCUUUCUGGGGUGAAAUGGAAUCUCAGCGUUGUCUUCAUUUUCGUCUCUCUAAUGACCAGUGAUGUUGAACAUUGUUUCAUAUGUUUAUUUGCUAUUUCUACUUCUUUGGUCUGAGAAAUGUCUGUUCAUUUCAGAUGCCCAUUUUUGGAUUGGGUCUUUAAAUUUGUGAGGUCUGAUCUUUUUAAGUUCUUUAUAGAUUCUAGAUAGUAGACCUUUGUCUGAGAAACAGCAGGUGAAAAUUUUUUCCCACAUUGUGGGUUGUCUCUUCACACUGUUGGUGGUUUCUCUUGCUGUGCAGAAGCUUUUUAAUAAGAAGAGAUCCCACUUGUUGAUUGUUUGUGCUAGUUCACAGGCAACUGAGGUUUUGUUCAUAAAAUCUUUUCCUACACCAAUGUCUUUAAGAGUUCUAGCCAAACUCUGUUCCAGCCAGUUCAGUGUUUUUGUUUCAAUAUUUAGAUUUUUAAUCCAUCUUGAUUUUAGUUUAGUGUGUGGUGAGAGAUAUAGGUCUAGUUUUAAUCUUUGGCAAGUUGAAGCCCAAUUUUUCCAGCACCAUUUAUGAAAGAGGCUAUCCUUCCUCCAGUGAGGGUGUUUGGCUUCUUUGUUGAAGAUGAGGUGGCUGAGUGUGUCUGGAAUUGUUUCUGCAUCUUCUAAUCUGUUCCACUGGUCCUCAGGUCUGUUUCUUUGCCAGUACCAUGCUGUUUUUAUCCCAGAUGCUUUGUAGUAUAGUUUCAAGUUGGGGAUUGUGAUACCCCUACCUUGUCUUUAUUGCCUAGUAUUGCUUUUGAUAUUCUAAGUCUCUUCUUGUUCCAAAUGAAUUUUUGGAUUGUUUUCUCCAGAUCUGUAAAGUAUGCUGUUGGGAUUUCAAUCCGGAUUGCACUGAAUCUGUAUAGCAGUUUUGGAAGUAUGGCCAUUUUCACUAUGUUGAAUCAUCCUACCCAGGAGCAAGGGAUGUCUUUCCAUUUUCUGAUAUCCUCAGUCUCUCUUUUCAGAGUGCUAUAGUUUUCAGAGAAGAGGCCUUUGAUUUCUUUCGUUAGGUUGAUUCCUAGGUAUUUCAGUUUUUUGGAUGCUAUUGUGAAAGGAAUUGUUUGCCCUCUUUCUUUUUUUUUUAAUUACUUAAAUUCUUUUAUUGGUACAUUUUAGUUAUACAGCACAUUUACAUUUCUCAUUGGGAACUUGUACCUUUACAUGAUACAUCUUGGUUCUUAUUUUUUCCCCAUUCCUAGCCCUCCCUUCACCCGCUCCACCCUUCCCUAUUUACAAAGACUUUGUUUCCAUUUUUUCCAUUUCUCAUCAUUUUUGCUUUCCCUUCUUUCCUUUCCCCUGCCCCUCCCACUAUCCCUACUGCUUUGGACUUUUUCUUCCUAUUUCACAUUAUCAAUUAUUCAUUCUAAUCGUUGGUACAUUUUAGGUAUACAAUAUAAUGACAUUCAUCACUGGAAAUUUACAUCUUUACAUAAUCUCUCUUGGUUCUUUUUUAAAGAAAACUAUUAUUAUUAUUAUUAUUAUUUGUAUCAGGGAUCGAACUUGGGUCCUUGCACUUGUGCAGCAGGCGGCGAAACCACUGAGCUAAAUCCCCAACCCAGUUUGCCCUAUUUCUAUCUCAGUGAGUCUGUUGUUUGGGUAGAGGAAAGAUAUUGAUUUUUGUGUGUUCACCUUGUAUCCAGCUACUCUACUGAGUUUGGUUAGUAAGUCUAGAAGACUUUUGGUGGAGUUCUUGGGAUCUUCUAUAUAGAGUAUCAUGUCAUCUGCAAAUAAUGACAAUUUGAAUUCUUCGUUUCUAAUCUUUAUUCCUUUUAUUUCUUUCUCUUGUCUAAUUACCAUGGCUCAUGUUUCUAAAACUGUCUUGAACAGGUGUGGUGAUAUUAGACAUCCUUGUCUGUUCCUAAUUUUAGUGUGAAGGAUUUCAGUUUUUCACCAUUUAGUAUGAUAUUGGCUGUUGGUUUUUCAUAGAUGGCUUUCAUCAGGUUGAGGUAGAGAACAUGUAUUCCAAUAUUUGUAGGGUUUUUAUCAUGAACGCAUUUUGGAUUGUGUGGAAUACUUUUUCUGCAUCUAUUGAGAUGAUCAUAUGGUUUUUGUCCUUGGCUCUAUUGAUAUAGUGUAUUACAUUUAUUGAUUUGCAUCUGUUGAACCAUCCUUGCAUCCCUAGGAUGAAGUGUUUGGGUGUUUGAUCUUCUGCAUUGUAUUUGCCAGUAUCUUAUUAAGGAUUUUUGCAUCUAUGUUCAUUAGUGAGAUUGGCCUUUAGUUCUCUUUUUUGGUUGGUUCUUUCUUUGCUUUGGGGAUCAAGGUGAGCUUGCUUCCAGGAAUGAAUUCAGGAGUAUUGUUUCCCUUUCAAUUUCAUUGAAGAGUUUGAACAGUACUAAAUGUCUUUUAGAAUUCAGCAGUGAAACCAUCAGGAACCAGGCUUUUCUUAGUUGGUAAGUUUUUAAUUACAUUUUCAAUUUCAUUGAUUGAUAUUGGGUUGUUUAGAAUUUUUAGGUCUUCUUCGUUCAAGUUUGGUAAUUAAUACGUAUCUAGGAAUCUGUCCAUUUCUUCUGUGUUUUCCAUCUUAUUGGCAUAUAGGUUCUGGAAGUAGGUAUUGAUGAUCCUCUGAAUUUCUGCUGGGUCUGUUGUAAUUUCAUCCUUUCCAUUCCUAAUUGCAUGGAUUUGGGCCUUUUCUUUCCUUUUUCUGGUAAGUUUGACUAAGGGUUUGUCAAUUUUGUUUAUUCUUUUGAAGAACUAACUCUUGACUUCAUUGAUGUUUUGUAUCAUUCUCUUAGUCUUCAUUCCAUUGAUUUCUCCUCUGAUCUUUAUAAUUUCCUCCCUUGUAUGAGCUUUGGGUUUGUGCUGCUCUUUUUUUUCUAGAAGCUUGAGGUUCAGCAUCAGAUUGUUUAAUUGGGCUCGCUCUGUUUUCCUAAUAUGCAUAUUCACUGCUAUGAAUUUCCCUCGUAGGACUGCUUUCAUUGUGUCCCAUAGAUCCUGAUAUGUUGUAUUGUCAUUAUCAUUUAAUUGUAAGAGCUUUCUGAUUUCUUCUUGAAUUUCCUCUGUGACCCAUUGGUUAUUGAGAAGUGUGCUGUUCAAUUUCCAUGUGCAUAUGAAAUUGUUACGGUUUCUUUUGCUAUUGAUCUCCAAUUUCAUCACACUGUGGUCUAAUAAUAUACAGGGGAUAACUUCAAUUCUUUUGCAGUUACUUAAGCAUGCGAGUAUGUGGUCUAUUUUGCAGAAUGACCCAUGUGCAGCUGAAAAUAAUGUGUAUUCUGAUUUUGUGGGGUGGAACACUGUAAACAUCUGUUAAGUUCAUUUGUUCAAGAGUUUGAUUGAGUUCUAGUAUUUUGUUGCUUGUUUUUUGUCUAGUUGAUUUAUCUAUUUGUGACAGUGGGUAUUGAGUUCUCCCACUACUAGUCUAUUAGUGCUUAUUUGAUUUUUCAUGUCCAUUUGUAUUUGUUUAAUAUAGUUGUGAGCACUAGUGUUUGGUGCAUAUAUGUUUAUGAUUGUCAUCUCUUCCUCUUGGAUUGUUCCCUUUACAAGGAUGUAGUGUCCUUCUUUGUGUCUCUUAAUCAGUGUUAGUUUGAAAUCCACUUGAACUGCAAACAAGAUAGCUAUUCCAGGUUUUGGGGGGGUUCCUAUUGCGUGGAGUAUUGUUUUCCACCCCUUCACUUUCAGUCUAUUAGUUUGUUUUUGAAUUAAGUGUGUUUCUUGUAUGUAGCAUAUUGUUGGAUCUUGCUUCUUGACCCAUUCUGCCAGUCUAUUUCUUUUGAUUGGUGAAUUGAGACUAUUAACAUUGAUGAUUAUAACAUACAUAUUGACUUAUCAUUGUCAUGACUUUUUCUUUCUGUUGGAUUUUCCCCCUUUGUGUUUAACUUACUGUCAUGUCUGAAAGAUUCAUUCUGCUGGGCUUCCUGGGGUUGUGAUCCUUGUUUUCUUUUCCUAGGAUAUUGUGUUAAAUUCUUUGGAGUGCUGGUUUGGUAUUCAUGAAGUUCCUAACGUGCUCUUUUUGAUGAGAGUAUCUUAUUUCUCCAUGAAUUUUGAAAGAUAGUUUUGCAGGGUACAUCAGUCUGGGUUGUAGGCUGUUUUCCUUUAGGGCUUUAAAUAUGUCACUCCAAGCUCUUCUUACCUUGGGGGUUUGUAUUGAGAAGUCUACUGUGAUUCUGAUGUGAUUUGUUUCUUUUCUCUAACUGCUUAUAGAAUUUUGUUUGUGAUUUGUUUCUUUUCUUUAUCUCCUUAUAGAAUUUUGUUCUUCUGUUGAGUUUUUGGAAUCUUAACAAUUAUAUGCCUAUGUGUAGAUUUUUUUUUUAUCAAGACUUGUUGGAGUCCUAUAUGCCUCACGUAUCUGUAUGUUAAGUUCUUUUCCCCUGCCUGGGAAGUUUUCUGCCAUCACUUCUGUGAACAGUUUUUUUUUAUGUUGUCUGUACUCUCUCCUGUUCCUUCAUUGACUUAGUCUGAUGUGAUUCUUCUUUGCAUUGUCUGAGCAGCUCCUGGAUUUAUUCCUCAUGGUCCCUUAGUAUUUUAAAGAAAUUUUUCUUUUCCUGGUCACUAAUUGCAAUGUUAUCUUCUAUAUCUGAAAUUCUGUCCUCACAUUGGCUCAUUCUGCUCCAUAGACUUUCAGUGGAGUUUUUAAUCUCCUGGAAAUCUGUUUGCAUUUGUUUUAUGGAUUCCAUUUGUUUCCUAUGUUGGGAUUCCAUCAUGUUCCACAGCGCCUCUAUUUUUUUUAUCUGUAUCUGCUAUAGAUUUAGUAAUCAUGUCUUGCACUGUGGACACAAUAUCUGCUCUUAUGUGAGAAAUUAUUUCUGAUUUCAUUUUUUCCAGAUCCUCUUUUAUUGCCAGUUUAGGAAGUCCAGAUUGUUUAGUAUGAGAUUGUUCCAUCUCAUUUCCCUUUGGGCUUGCUUUAGCUGAUCUUGGAGUCUGGUUUUGAGACAUGUUUAUGUGUCUUCUCAUUUCCUUGUAGUGGGGAGGGAGAGGGAUGUGUGCUGCUGGCAUCCAUGUGGCUCACCUCCUCAUUUCUAGGGGUGGUGGUAUGGAGCCCUGAAAGGUUCACUACCUCGGCACUGGGGGUGCCUCUCCUCCUCAGUGCUGGGGGUGGUUGUCUUUUUCCUUUUAUGAAAAAUGUAAGGUCUUAUGUUCUCAUUGUUUAAAAAAUUGACUAAUUUAUAGUGUCAAAAGUGGUUUAAAAGAAAAGUGGUUUAAAAAUUCAGGCAGUACUGAAUUCACUUAGAGUUCAGAAAAACUGAGUAGAAAUUGUGUAGGAAACAGUUAUUUUAAGCAGUUAUUUAAGCAGUUAUUUUAAACAGUUAUUUUAGCAUUGUGUAACCAAUCGAUGAAUCCAUAUUCUCUAUUCGUUUCCUAUUAAUCCAUAUCCCCUUGUUAACUAAAUUCUCAAAAGUUUCAUUCAGAGGAACUAGGUCCAGAUUAAUUUCUGUUCAUCCAAACAAUGUUGCCUAUUUCCCUAGGUCUUUUCCUACCCAGCAGUUCUCAAUAUCCCAUAGGAACAUUCCCUACAAAAGAAACACUCCCUAUAAAAGCUCUCUGAUGUCUCCUUUCUUCCUAGGUCAGGCUGCUUACAGCUAGCCCCAGUCAGAACCUCACCUAUGCUCUUGCAUUUUCAAUGUUCAAUCUGUUGUGAAUGGAAAAGGUCUUUAGAACUGUGUCUAAAUGAAGAAUAAAUAGGCUUUGAGUGAGAGCCCAAAGAAGAAAUUAUCUCAGCAGUAAAGCUCAUCAAUAUGGUGAACUCUUUCAGUUGGUUAAAAAUUUUGUCUCUUUUGUUCCAGUGAGGUGAAUUUUAAUUUCAUACACUCAAAUACAGACACACACCCACACACACACACAUACACACAAUGUAGGUAUGCAUUUACAACACUGUAUCAUACUCUGUAUAACAUAUAUAACUACACCAUGCUUGCCUAUUGUGUAUUUAGGAACCAAGCUAUGUCUCUGGUAACACAGUAGUUGUUCCAAGUGAUUUAGAUGGUAAAAUCUGUGAAAAGGAGUAGUAGUUUUAUUUUGUUCUAAGUACCUCUGUAAGCAUUCAUGUACUAUGUGGAAGUCCUCAAGGGGCUCAUAAUUUUCCACUAGACUCUCACUUUAUAAGGCUAAAAUGCAUGCAGUUGAAGACCAGUAUGGUAUAUUAUCUUAUUAUUUAUUAGGAUAAACUCUCACUGCCUAAUAAUGUUUUGUAUAAUAUAAGUAUAUUUUUGGUAUAUGUAAUAGAAAAUAUGUGUAUUAUUACAGUUGACAUUGGUUGUUGGGAAAAUGAGAUUGCUGGAGCAGCACUUAAAAUCAUAGUACUGACCUACUUAGAAAAAUUAAUUAUGAAAGAAAAAUAAUGGGUUAUAGUAGCGCAUAAUGGUUUGGGGGAUGCUGCUCAUUGAAAUCCAUCCUGAGGCUUAUUUAAAAUUGGCACAAUUAGAGUUUUCAGGAAUUUGGCAACUUUGAUUUAUUUACAAGGGUUCAUAUAGGAGUUGCGUCAGGGGAGAGUGACGGACAGGGGUGUGUAGUUUAUUGUUAUAAAUUUGAGUUGAUAGAAUUUCCAAUUCAAAUUUGAGGAAAGAUCAUCAGGUUCCUUAAUGGACACAACUUAAUAAAUUUGAGUCCUUGUAUCAAUCAAACUUCAUAUCAGGUCAGAUGAAAAACUGAAUAUACUUAUUUUAGCAGUUAAAACUAUUUUCUACGAUGUCAGUGAACUAAAUUUCUUUAAUUUGCAUUUCACUCUUUGAUUUUUUUCUUUUUAUGAUACUGGAGAUUGAGUCCAGGGCCCCAUACUUGCUAGGUAGUCAUCUGCUGUUGAGCUACAUCCCAGGCCUUUUUUUAUUUUUUGAGAUAGGGUCUUGCUAAUUUUUUUGGGUUGACUUGAACUUGUGAUCCUUCUGCCUCAGUUUUUUGGAGUAGUUGGGAUUACAUGUUAUGCCACUGUAUCUGCCUUCACUUCUUGAAAUUUUUAUUUACCAGAUAUUUAUUGAUACCACCUCUGUUGGUAUUGGUAGUGGUAUUGGUAUUGGUGGUAUUAUGGGGACUAGAAUCCAUUAAUGAAAAGGAAAAAAUCAUAUAAUCUGUUAGGAGAUGAUUAAUGCCUGAUGCACUUAGGGCCAUCAAAAGAAUAUAUCGAUAAAUUACAUUUUAUUAACAUUAAAAUCUGCUCUUUGAAAACAUUAUUGAGAGAAUUAAAAGAUAAGCCACACACUGUAUUUGCAAUGAAAUUUAUCUGAUGGGAGCAGGAUUUAUAUCCAGAAAAUAUAAAGAACUUUCAAAUCUCAAUACAUUUAUAAAUAUCUUCAAGAGUUCUACCUAACCUAUCUUCCCAUAGGUUUAAUAUUUCUGUUUUAAUAUUUAGAACUUUGAUCUACUUCGGUUUUCAUUUAGUGCAUGGUGAAAGAUAUGGGUCUAGUUUUAAUCCUUGGCAGGUUGAAAUCCAGUUUUUCCAGCACCAUUUAUUAAAGAGGCUGUCUUGACGUGAGGGUGUUUGGCUCCUUUGUCAAAGAUGAGGUGGCUUAGUAUGUCUGUGGAGUUGUUUCUGCAUCUUCUAAUCUGUUCCAUUGACCCUUGGGUGUGUUUCUUUGUCAGUACCAUGCUAUUUUUAUCAAGGUGGCAUUGUAGUAUAGUUUCAUGUUGGGUAUUGUGAUACUCCCUACCUUGUCUUUGUUGCUAGAAUUGCAUACUCCUAAGUGAAAUAAAUAGGACACAUGUGUAAAUACAGAAUCAUUUCUCUGGUGUGAGAAACUGAAGGUAUAAAUGAGGACCAAAAUGUAUAGCAGAUAUUGUGAAAUAGGAAAAAAAUGUUUGAAGGGAAAGGGAAACUAGGAAGGGGGCAGGGGAAAGGAAAGAAGGGAAAGAAAAAAAAUGAAAGUAAGAAGUUAAAAAUAGAAACAAAGCUUAUGUGUAUGGGGGGAAAGGUUGAAGGGAGGGCAGGAGAAUGGGAAAAUUAAGAAUCAAGAUAUAUCAUGUAUAGGUACAAAUUUUCAAUGAUGAAUGUGAUCAUAAGCUAGACCUGAAUGUACCAAUAAACUUAAUAAAAAAAUUGUUAAAGAAAAUCAAUUUAGAAAUAAUACAUUUUUAAUGGUAGAAAAGAUUUGAGUAUACACUUGACAAAAAUAUAUAAAGGUGGCAUGUAAAAACAUGAAAAGAUGCUGAACAUCAUUAGCCAUUACAGAAAUGAAAAUUAAAGCCAUAAGAUCCAAGCAUACAUCUAUUAGAAUGGAUAAAAUUAAGAAUUACCCUACCAAGUAGUGGUGAGGAUGUAAGAAACUGGUACUCUCAUACACUGCUGGCAAAAAAGUAGAAUGGCACAGACUCUUUGAUAAUAGUCUGAUGGCUUUUAAAAAUCUAAACAUACAUCUACUGUGUGAUUCAGCAGUUUCACUCCUAGGUAUUUACAUAAGAGAAAUGAAAAUACAUGUCUUUAUUAACCUUGUCCGCAUGUGUUCUUAAUAGCUUUUCUUGUAUUAGCUAAAAAUUUUAAACAACUUAAAUGGCCAUCCAGAGUUUGAUGAAUUAAAAAACUUACAGCAUGUCUAUACAAUGGACUGUGUAAUUUACUAGAAGAACCCUACUCUCUUACAAUUUUCCUUUAUUACAUUGUACUUAUGGUAGUACCUCCUAUAUCUGUGGGAGUUAUGCUCUAAGACCCCCAGUGAAUAACUGAAACUAUGGAUAAAACCAAAACCUGUAUAAGCUACAUUUUUUCUAUAUAUCCAUAUUUGUGAUAAAAUUUAAUUUAUACAUUUAUGCACAUUGUUGGUGGAAAUGUAAACUAGUAUAAUCAUUAUGGAAAUUAGUAUGGAGAUUUCUCAAAGAAAUUUGAUUAGAUUUCAAAGGAAUUGAAAAUUACCUUUGAACCAGCUAUUUUCCUUCUGGGUAUCUUCCUUAAAAAGCUAAAAACAUCAUAUUACAGCAAAACAUGCAUACCAAUGUUUAUAGCAGCACAAUUCAUAAUAGCUAAAUCCUGAAAGCAGCCCCUAUGUCCUUUAACAUAUGAAUGGAUAAACAAAAUGUGGUAUCUAUACAUAAUGGAAUACUACUCAGCUAUAAGGAAGGAUAAAUCAGGACAUUUGUAGGAAAAUGGAUACACCUGCAAAAUAUAAUGUUAAGUGAAAUAAAUAAGACACACAAGCUUAAAUACUAUAAGGUGUCUCUCAUUUGAGUAAGAUAAAGAUGAUACCAGGAAACAGAGAGAUUAGAGCUUUUGCAGAUGGAAAGGGGUAUAGAAGACCAAGAAUGUGGAGAGGAAGGAAGGAGAAUGGGAAGUAAAAAUAUUUAAGAUGUGUCAUGUACAUGUCCCAAAUACCCACAAUGAAUGUAAACAUUAUAUGUCUUAAUCAUGAAUUAAAUAUAAUAAUUAUAAUGAAAAUAGGGGAAGAGAAUUUAGAAACAAAGUGGGGAGGUGGAUAGAGUGGGGAAGGGGAUUAAAAAGGAAUCAAGAUAUGUCUGUCAUAUACACAUACCUACUCCCUAAACUUCAUAUACCGCAAACAUGUACUAAUAGCAUUAAAUUAAAAGCCAAAUUACGCACAGAGAUGAAUAAUAACUAAAAAUAAAAGAAUAAUUGUAACAAUAUGCUGUAAUGUUAUAUGCACAUUUAUUUCUCUUUUAAAAUAUUGUACUUACCCUUCCUUUUGUGAAGAUGUGAGCUGAUAGAAUGCUUGUGUGUUGAAAUGAGUGAUGUAGACCUUUUGACAUAACAUUGGCACCCCAAAUAAAAUAUCUGUGCCAAACUCAGUUCUUUCCCCUAAACACUCUCUUCCUUCCAUUGUUACUGUACAGUCACUCAUGUCAGAAACCUAGCAUUACCUUCUUGAGAUCCUCUACUAUCCCAAGUCUAACCCAUGUCCUGGUACUUUUGAUCUUUUUCCUAACUAUGACUGUAGUUUGUUGACUCCUGUACAUACCAAAGCUACUACACUAAUCCAGGAAACCAUCAUACCUUCCUAAAUUCUUGCAGCAUUCUCCUAAUAUACUUAAUAUUAAUCUUUCAAUUUGGCUCCUGACUCCUCUGUCUCUAUGUCUUUGCCCCCCUAGUAAUCUUACUGCACUUUUCAUGAUUUCAGUGUAUGAUGCUUGGUCCUAUUUUUGGUCUUUGCAUCUGAGGUGUGACCAAAACAUACAGUGUAUAUUUACAUUUUUUAAAAAAUUGAUUACAGUAAAAGACAUUACCAUUAAUCUCUCUCAGAAUAUUUGCUCUCACUUGGAGCACCACAUGCCUAUCAUUCUUGCUCCUCUCUGAGGAUGCUUCAUAAGUCUUCCUUUGUGGGUGUCUUUAGUUGCGCUGUUAUGGGUGCCUCAGUAUUCUGAAUGGAUUCAAAAAGUUUAUCAUUCAUGAUCAUUUUGAUUUUGAGGAAGAGCCAGAAGUCAUAUGGUACCAGAUCCAAUGUACAGAUAGAUGAGUACAUACCAGAAAGUUUUUAUUUGACAGAAAUUCCCAUAAAUGCUUUGAAUGGAUUCAGGACAUCGAGGGGGCUAAGAAAAGACACUGAUGAAAGAGGACUUGCAGAAUUUUCACUCACUUUGGAUUCUUCUGGGGAACAUAAUUUUCUUCCAGACUUAUUAGCAUCUUUAUCUGAGUAACUACAGUAGAAAAGUGGCAAUAACAAUGAGAUAGGUGUGUUUGAAGUAAGAGAGAGAUAUUUUAAGAGGAAUUAAUGGCAUGUCUUUCACUGUUAUGAUUAUUUUUAAUAAUUCAUUAUAUUUUUAAAUCAUACUUCAUAAAUUCUUUCCUUUAUUUGGAGUACUUUUCAUUACUCCUUCCACUUUUUGCUCACUUUCACUGAAAUAAAACAGAGUUUUCAGUUAUACAAACAAUGCUUUGCAGCAUGCAUGCAAUAGGUUCGCUACUACUGUUCCAUAAUGUAUGCUUUACUUUUAUUGAUUAUUUUGCCUUUAUCCCUUUUAAGGUAGUGAAUAGAUUAUAUUGUUCAAGGCUAUAUCUCUUGUAACUCAAUGCCUGAUAUGUACUAGGCAUUUAAUAAAUAUUGACUGAAUUAAUAAAGAAAUAAAUUUCUGCAGAUACAAAUGAUAAAAUAGCUAAUUUGUCACAUUUUCCUUUAAUUUUUUGAAAUUGGUUAUGACAGUAGAUUUCUUACACUUGUAUACUACAGGAAUAAAUUUUUUCAUGUUAAACAUGCAUAUUUUAGCAUUUUUAUAAAAAACUAAUUACUACAUGGGUUUAAUUCCAGGCUCUGUAUUUUGUUUCAUCGGUGUGUCUACAUUUAUGUCAAUACUGUUUUAAUUACUACACCUUUCUAUUUUACUUUGAAGUCAGGCAGUGUAAUUCUACCUGCUUGGUUCAUUUUUUUCCAAUACAAUUUUAGUUAUUUGUGGAAUUUUUUAUGAUUCCAUAUGAAUUUUAGUUUUUUUCUAGUUCUCUAGAGAAUGUCAUUAGUGUUUUGAUAGGGAUUACACUGAAUGUGCUGAUCACUUUGUGUAGUAUAGACAAUUUAAUAAUGUUGAUACUAACAAACCAAGAACAUGAGCUGUCUUUUGCAUUUGUGUCCUCUUAAAUUUCUUUCAUCAGUGUUUUAUAAUUUUCCUUAUAGAGAUCUUUAUAACCUCUUUGGUUAAAUUUAUUCCUCAGUAUUUUUAUGGCUAUUGUGAAUUAGACUGCUCUCAUGGUUUCUAUUCCUGGUAAUUCACUGUAUUAUUAUAGCAAUGCUAUGGAUUUUUAUAUACUGACUUGUGUCCUGCAACUUUCCUGAAUUUGUUUAUUAAUUCUAAUAAUUUUCUGGUGGAAUCUCUUGGAUUUUUAUAUAUAAGAUCAUGUCUAUGUAAAUAGUAAAAAUUUUACUUUAAUUUUUAUUUCUUGUAAUAUUUUAUUUUUUUCCUGGAAUAUAAAACAGUAAUUCUUGUAAAUUUGAGUUUUGUUAUAUGUAUUUUGAAUAGCUCUCAUUAGAUUUUCAACUUUCUAGUAUUUUUUGUUGGUUUUUUUUGUAUUAAAUUCUUUUAUUGGUACAUUGUAGGCAUACAACACAAUUAUAUUUCUCUUUGGGAAUUGUACCUUUACAUAAUGCAUCUUGGUUCUUAUUUUUUUCCCCAUUCCUAGCCCUCCCUUCACACCCUCCACCCUUCCCUAUUUACAAAGACUUUAUUUCCAUUUUUUUCCAUUUCUCAUCAUUUUUUCCUUUCCCUUCUUUCCUUUCCGCUGCCUCUCCCACUACCCCUACCCCUUUGGACCUUUUCUUCCUAUUUUACAUUAUCGAUUAUUCAUUCUAAUCAUUGGUACAUUUUAGGUAUACAACAUAAUGACAUUCAUCAUUGGAAAUUUGCACCUUUACAUAGUCUCUCUUGGUUCUUAUUUUUCACCCUUGCCCAGCCCUCCCUUCAACCCCUCCAGUCCUCCCUAUUUACAAAAAUUUUGUUCCUAUUUUUCCAUUUUCUCAUAUUAAUCCCAUUCCCUUCUAUUCUUUCCCCUAGCCCUACCACUUCCUUCCCCUUUGCCCCUGUUCUUCCUAUUUCACAUUACCUAUUAUACAUUUAGUCCUUAUUUACACUUUCAGUUUCUCACAUCAGAGAAACUAUUGGUAUUUACACAUGUGUGUCC